rnacentral:rRNA from 1 species
UACAGAGGGGGCAAGCGUUGUUCGGAAUUACUGGGCGUAAAGGGCGCGUAGGCGGCCCGCUAAGUCGAACGUGAAAUCCCCGAGCUCAACUCGGGAACUGCGUCCGAUACUGGCGGGCUUGAAUCCGGGAGAGGGAUGCGGAAUUCCAGGUGUAGCGGUGAAAUGCGUAGAUAUCUGGAGGAACACCGGUGGCGAAGGCGGUUCUCUGGGCCUGACCUGACGCUGAGGAGCGAAAGCGUGGGGAGCGAACAGG